UUGAUCCUGGCUCAGAAUCAACGCUGGCGGCGUGCCUAACACAUGCAAGUCGAACGCGAAAGCCCCGCAAGGGGUGAGUAGAGUGGCAAACGGGUGAGUUACACGUGGGUGACCUGCCUUCGAGUGGGGGAUAACGUCCCGAAAGGGACUCUAAUACCGCAUGACAUCCUGCUUUUGGAAAAGCGGAGAUCAAAGCUGGUGAUCGUAAGACCUGGCGCUUGAAGAGGGGCCCGCGCCUGAUUAGCUAGUUGGUGAGGUAACGGCUCACCAAGGCUACGAUCAGUAUCCGGCCUGAGAGGUCGGACGGACACACUGGGACUGAGACACGGCCCAGACUCCUACGGGAGGCUGCAGUGGGGAAUUGUUCGCAAUGGGCGCAAGCCUGACGACGCAACGCCGUGUGGAGGAUGAAGACCUUCGGGUCGUAAACUCCUGUCGAGUGGGAAGAGUAGCUUUCGGGUGAAUACCCCGGAAGUCUGACGGUACCACUAAAGGAAGCUCCGGCUAACUCCGUGCCAGCAGCCGCGGUAAUAAGGU
rnacentral:rRNA from 1 species